GCCGAGGUGGCGGAAUUGGUAGACGCGCUGGAUUCAAAAUCCAGUGGUAGUAAUAUCGUGCGGGUUCGAUUCCCGCCCUCGGCACCA
rnacentral:tRNA from 1 species